CUGGGAGUUAGCAGGACAACCCCCUAAGGGGAAGGACUGGGGGAAAUCUCUCCUCCUUUCACUGUUCCUUAAAGAGAGCACCCCUGCCAUCUCCCAUUGCAUCAGAUGCUGGAAGGCAGUGGCAGCCGGGCACCUAACAGAGGAAGACGAUGCAGAGCUGGUGACCAGGGAGGGAGCUACAAGAGGGAAUGGGGUGUCUUCAGCGGGAGACUGGAGGAAACAGAAGGGCUUCAAGACCAUCCAUGCCACUGGAGUAGGCUCGGAGGCAGUGGCUGUGCUGUGUGAAAUGAACGAUUCACUCAAGAGGAAAUAUGAUUUAUCUCUCGUUUGUGGAGCUAGUCAGGUAAGGGCUGGCUGAUUGAAACCUUGAGAGAUUAAAUAAAUGGAGAGGUGCUUCGAGAUAAAAUCUAUGUUUCUUUCCCUAAGGAUCCCUGUGCUUCCCUGGAACUCCCAGCCCCCAGCUCCCAGAGCAUUUGUUCACCCUCUGUCAAAGGCAUAUUCUUCUUGGCCUGGGCCACUGGGCUGGGGGUGGGCACAGCUGGGUGCGACAGGGACAAUGAAGGAAGAGCUCUAUUUCUUGUAACAGAUUUUCAAAGUGUCGCAGCCCCUGAAACACAGGCUUUAAGUAAGAUCUAAAAGGUGGACUUUGUUAAGGACUGGAUAAGGUGACCUGGGGGCUAGGCAGGAAAUUGGAAUUGGACAUGGAUGGGAAAACCUAUUAUUAAUACUUUGUUGCUUGGGGAGUGCUACUAUUACAGACCACACUGGGCAGAGGCAGGGAGAAGGAAUGGGGAAAUUAGUCAUGAUUUUCACCUCUUAGCAGAGGAAUGGAGUGCCCAACUGACUGAUGACCCACCCUUGUCCCGUCUCCCAGAGGAGGACUCCCAGCCCAAGUGGUGGAGAUGUGGAGGACACAGUGAGUGUGAAUAGCCCCAUGUGGCCAGUGCCUGUUACACUGAACAGUACAGCCUGAGAAUCUUCAUCUCAUCCCACCUCCCUUACCUUCUUCUGGAAAUCUAGCCUCUGAGCCUUUGCUUCCUGAAG
rnacentral:lncRNA from 13 species